rnacentral:rRNA from 1 species
AUUGAACGCUGGCGGCAGGCCUAACACAUGCAAGUCGAGCGGAUGAAGGGAGCUUGCUCCUGGAUUCAGCGGCGGACGGGUGAGUAAUGCCUAGGAAUCUGCCUGGUAGUGGGGGAUAACGUCCGGGAACGGGCGCUAAUACCGCAUACGUCCUGAGGGAGAAAGUGGGGGAUCUUCGGACCUCACGCUAUCAGAUGAGCCUAGGUCGGAUUAGCUAGUUGGUGGGGUAAAGGCCUACCAAGGCGACGAUCCGUAACUGGUCUGAGAGGAUGAUCAGUCACACUGGAACUGAGACACGGUCCAGACUCCUACGGGAGGCAGCAGUGGGGAAUAUUGGACAAUGGGCGAAAGCCUGAUCCAGCCAUGCCGCGUGUGUGAAGAAGGUCUUCAGAUUGUAAAGCACUUUAAGUUGGGAGGAAGGGCAGUAAGUUAAUACCUUGCUGUUUUGACGUUACCAACAGAAUAAGCACCGGCUAACUUCGUG